rnacentral:rRNA from 1 species
UGGUUGGCUCAGGCGACGACGGGUAGCUGGUCUGAGAGGAUGACCAGGCCACAUUGGGACUGAGACACGGCCCAGACUCCUACGGGAGGCAGCAGUGGGGAAUAUUGCACAAUGGGCGAAAGCCUGAUGCAGCGACGCCGCGUGAGGGAUGACGGCCUUCGGGUUGUAAACCUCUUUCAGCAGGGACGAAGCGAAAGUGACGGUACCUGCAAAAGAAGCACCGGCUAACUACGUGCCCCAGCCGCGG